AAUCUGUCGCAAUGGGCGAAAGCCUGACGCAGCCAUGCCGCGUGAAUGAUGAAGGUCNNNGGAUUNUAAAAUUCUUUCACCGGNGACNAUAAUGACGGUACCCGGAGAAGAAGGCCCGGCUAACUUCGCGCCAGCAGCCGCGGUAAUACGAAGGGGGCUAGGGUUGGUCGGAAUUACGGGGCGUAGAGGGCGCGUACGCGGACAUUUAAGUCAGGGGUGAAAUCCCAGGGCUCAACUCUGGAACUGCCUUUGAUACUGGGUGUCUUGAGUGUGAGAGAGGUAUGUGGAACUCCGAGUGUAGAGGUGAAAUUCGUAGAUAUUCGGAAGAACACCAGUGGCGAAGGCGACAUACUGGCUCAUUACUGACGCUGAGGCGCGAAAGCGUGGGGAGCAAACAG
rnacentral:rRNA from 1 species